rnacentral:rRNA from 1 species
CAGAGCGGUAGAGAGAAGCUUGCUUCUCUUGAGAGCGGCGGACGGGUGAGUAAUGCCUAGGAAUCUGCCUGGUAGUGGGGGAUAACGUUCGGAAACGGACGCUAAUACCGCAUACGUCCUACGGGAGAAAGCAGGGGACCUUCGGGCCUUGCGCUAUCAGAUGAGCCUAGGUCGGAUUAGCUAGUUGGUGGGGUAAUGGCUCACCAAGGCGACGAUCCGUAACUGGUCUGAGAGGAUGAUCAGUCACACUGGAACUGAGACACGGUCCAGACUCCUACGGGAGGCAGCAGUGGGGAAUAUUGGACAAUGGGCGAAAGCCUGAUCCAGCCAUGCCGCGUGUGUGAAGAAGGUCUUCGGAUUGUAAAGCACUUUAAGUUGGGAGGAAGGGCAGUUACCUAAUACGUGAUUGUUUUGACGUUACCGACAGAAUAAGCACCGGCUAACUCUGUGCCAGCAGCCGCGGUAAUACAGAGGGUGCAAGCGUUAAUCGGAAUUACUGGGCGUAAAGCGCGCGUAGGUGGUUUGUUAAGUUG